AAAUUACAAUAACGGGAAAAAUGUGCUGCUUACAAAGAACAAGAAAAAGAAAAGAAUUUGAUGUACCCAAUGUAUUUGUAAAUUUAUAUAUUUUAAAAUUUCAACUUUAGAGACAAUAUUUAUAUAUAUUUAUUGACCAAAUAAAUUUCUAUUUAAAUAAAAAACCUGGUAGUUUAUGUCUUUGUGACAGACUGCUGACCGAUCGGAGACACACCCUGCCUUUUAUCUAACGUUGGCUGUGAUUGACACCAACUCUUCCACAAGAUUAAAUAAUUAAAAUGUUCGACUGGAUGGAAAGACCUGAGCCCCACACCGGGGUGUUGAACCGUCUCCCCCUGCUGUCACAGGCCGAGAAGACACAUCAAACUGACACACAAUCAUAUACAGACAGGAUGCUGGUUCGGCUCACACUGUUGCUAGGCAACCCGUUAAAUUCCAGAGUGCUGUACGUUCUCUUGGUGCAGGCCUACAAAUCAUCAACUCCUCCAUUAGCGGAGCUGUCAACAGCCGCUAAUGCCAGAAGACUGGAGUGAAUUCCGGAACAUAAACAGCUACAAAGGCAUCACAGGCAGUCGGAGCCAGUGGAAUAAGAAUAAUAAUAAUAAUAAUAAAAA